rnacentral:rRNA from 1 species
UUUAAUUUAUUAUUAAAUUUGUUAUUUAAAAAAAAUAUUUUUUUUAUUUAUUAUUAUUUAUAGAAAAAUUUUAUAUUAUUAUAGUAUAUUAGUAUUGUGAAAGAAUUAAUUUAAAAAUUAAAAAGAAAAAUUUAUUAUUUGUACCUUGGGUAUCAGGGUUUAUUAAUUAAAUAUUAAAAAUUUUAAUUUUCUCGAUUUUAAAAGAGUUAAUUAUUUAUAAAUUUUAUUGUAAAAUAACUAUUUAUAAUAAAUAAUUAGUAAUGAAACGUUAUUCGUUUUUAAAUAUAUCUAGUUUUUAAAGAAAAAAAUUUAAUUUUAUUUAUAUUAAUUUUAUGAUUUUAUUUUUAAAAUAUUAGAUUAAUAUAAAUUAUAUUAAUUGGGAUAAGCUAAUUAAUAAAUUAUUAUAAAUUAUGGAUUUUUUUUUAAAUUGUAGAAUUAUAAAUUUUCAUCAUUUAGUAUGUUAUAAUUAAUUAAUUUUGAAUAAAAAUUUUUAUAUAAUUUUAAGUUUUUUAUUUAAAUAUUAAAUUUAAUUGUUUAAUUUAAGUAAUAAUGAUAAAAUUAGUAUAAUAUUUUGUAUUAAAUAUUUAAUAUUUCAAGUUUAUUAAAAGGAAUUCGGCAAAUAUAUUUUUCGCCUGUUUAUUAAAAACAUGUCUUUUAGAUUUUAAUUUAAAGUCUAACCUGCCCAAUGAAAAUUUUAAUGGCUGCAGUAUUUUGACUGUACAAAGGUAGCAUAAUCAUUAGUUUCUUAAUUAGGAACUGGAAUGAAAGGUUGGACGAGAAAAUAACUGUCUCUUAAUAAAUUUUUUAGAAUUUUAUUUUUAAGUUAAAAAGCUUAAAUGAUUUUAAAAGACGAGAAGACCCUAUAGAGUUUUAUUAAUAAUAUAUUAAAAUUUUAUUUUGAAUUAUUAAUUUUUUAGUUUAAUAUUAAUUUAAUUGGGGUGAUUAAAAAAUUUAAAUAACUUUUUUUUUAUUUUAACAUUAAUAUAUGAAUAUUUGAUCCAUUUUUAUGAUUAUAAGAUUAAAUUACCUUAGGGAUAACAGCGUAAUUUCUUUUUAGAGUUCUAAUCGAUUAAGAAGUUUGCGACCUCGAUGUUGGAUUAAAAUUAAUUUAUGGUGUAGAAGCUAUAAUAUUAGGUCUGUUCGACCUUUAAAAUUUUACAUGAUCUGAGUUUAAACCGGUGUGAGCCAGGUUGGUUUCUAUCUUUAAAUAUUAUUAAUAUUUUAGUACGAAAGGACCAAAUAUUAUGAAUAAUUUUAUUUAUAAUGAAUAUUAUUAAUUAA